AGCCUGAUGCAGCCAUGCCGCGUGUGUGAAGAAGGCCUUCGGGUUGUAAAGCACUUUCAGUAAGGAGGAAAGGUUAAGUGUUAAUAGCAGCUUAGCUGUGACGUUACUUACAGAAGAAGCACCGGCUAACUCCGUGCCAGCAGCCGCGGUAAUACGGAGGGUGCGAGCGUUAAUCGGAAUUACUGGGCGUAAAGCGUACGCAGGCGGUUUGUUAAGCGAGAUGUGAAAGCCCCGGGCUCAACCUGGGAACUGCAUUUCGAACUGGCAAACUAGAGUGUGAUAGAGGGUGGUAGAAUUUCAGGUGUAGCGGUGAAAUGCGUAGAGAUCUGAAGGAAUACCGAUGGCGAAGGCAGCCACCUGGGUCAACACUGACGCUCAUGUACGAAAGCGUGGGGAGCAAACAGGAUUAGAUACCCUGGUAGUCCACGCCGUAAACGAUGUCUACUAGAAGCUCGGGUCUUCGGACUUGUUUUUCAAAGCUAACGCAUUAAGUAGACCGCCUGGGGAGUACGGCCGCAAGGUUAAAACUCA
rnacentral:rRNA from 1 species